UACAGAGGUCCCAAGCGUUGUUCGGAUUCAUUGGGCGUAAAAGGGUGCGUAGGUGGCGCCGUAAGUGGGGUGUGAAAUUUCGGAGCUUAACUCCGAAACUGCAUUCCAUACUGCGGUGCUUGAGGACUGGAGAGGAGACUGGAAUUCCUGGUGUAGCGGUGAAAUGCGCAGAUAUCAGGAGGAACACCGGUGGCGAAGGCGGGUCUCUGGGCCGUAACUGACGCUGGAGGAGCGAAAGCAUGGGGAGCGAACAGG
rnacentral:rRNA from 1 species